ACCCAUGUCUUUUGCGCACUUGUUGUUUCCUGGGCGGGUUCGCCUGCCACCAGGACCAAACCAUAAACCUUUUUUUAUUGCAAUCAGCGUCAGUAUAACAAUGUAAUUAUUACAACUUUCAACAACGGAUCUCUUGGUUCUGGCAUCGAUGAAGAACGCAGCGAAAUGCGAUACGUAGUGUGAAUUGCAGAAUUCAGUGAAUCAUCGAAUCUUUGAACGCACAUUGCGCCCUUUGGUAUUCCAAAGGGCAUGCCUGUUCGAGCGUCAUUUGUACCCUCAAGCUUUGCUUGGUGUUGGGCGCUUGUCUCUCCUCUUUUUGGGGGAGACUCGCCUUAAAACGAUUGGCAGCCGGCCUACUGGUUUCGGAGCGCAGCACAUUUUUGCGCUUUCCACCAGCAAAAGAGGACGGCAAUCCAUCAAGUCUACAUUAUCACUUUUGACCUCGGAUCAGGUA
rnacentral:rRNA from 1 species